GUGAAGCUGCUGUGCCUGCUGUCCUCACUGCUGAUAGUGAAGAGUCUGGUGUACUGCUGUGGACUCUCUCUGCUGAUGAGCCUCACAAACAAGGGAGCGUCCACCAACUGAACACCUGCUGACUGACUGCUUCCUGCUGGCCUUUCCUCCCAGAAAAGAGCAAGAAAAGCAGCUUUUCAAUGGAAAACAGAGGAAAACCUCAUUCUGUCCUUUCAUGCAAACCACUCUUUAUUUACAAGUUCUUCAAGAAGACUUUCCAAAAUGUGCUUUUUGUCUGUUUCUCUGCUUUUCUUCUCCUUCUUUCAAUUAAAAAGCAUUGAUGAUUU